AGGCAGGGCGGGCUUAUUCAAUGGAAGUAUGUUACCAGCUGCCGGUGCUGCCCCUGGACAGGCCGGUACCCCAGCACGUCCUCAGCCGCCGAGGAGCCAUCAGCUUCAGCUCCAGCUCCGCGCUUUUCGGCUGUCCCAACCCGCGGCAGCUCUCACAGAGGCGUGGAGCUAUUUCCUAUGACAGUUCUGAUCAGACUGCAUUGUACAUUCGUAUGCUAGGAGAUGUACGUGUAAGGAGCCGAGCAGGAUUUGAAUCAGAAAGAAGAGGCUCUCACCCAUACAUUGAUUUUCGUAUUUUUCACUCUCAGUCCGAAAUCGAAGUUUCUGUCUCUGCAAGGAAUAUUAGAAGGCUGCUCAGUUUCCAGCGGUAUCUCAGAUCCUCGCGCUUUUUCCGUGGUACUACGGUUUCCAGUUCUCUUAACAUUUUAGACGACGAUUACAAUGGACAAGCCAAGUGUAUGCUGGAAAAAGUUGGAAAUUGGAAUUUUGAUAUCUUUCUAUUUGAUAGACUAACAAAUGGAAAUAGUCUAGUAAGUUUAACCUUUCAUUUAUUUAGUCUUCAUGGACUAAUAGAAUACUUCCAUUUAGAUAUGAUGAAACUUCGUAGGUUUUUAGUUAUGAUUCAAGAAGAUUACCACAGUCAGAAUCCUUACCAUAAUGCAGUCCAUGCUGCAGAUGUUACUCAGGCCAUGCACUGUUACUUAAAAGAACCUAAGCUUGCCAAUUCUGUAACCCCUUGGGACAUCUUGCUGAGCUUAAUUGCAGCUGCCACUCAUGAUCUGGAUCACCCAGGUGUUAAUCAGCCCUUCCUUAUUAAAACUAACCAUUACUUGGCAACUUUAUACAAGAAUACCUCAGUACUGGAAAAUCACCACUGGAGAUCUGCAGUGGGCUUAUUGAGAGAAUCUGGUUUAUUCUCACAUCUACCAUUAGAAAGCAGGCAACAAAUGGAGACUCAGAUAGGUGCUUUGAUCCUAGCCACAGACAUCAGUCGCCAGAACGAGUACCUGUCUUUGUUUAGAUCCCAUUUGGAUAGAGGUGACUUAUGCCUGGAAGAUGCCAGACAUAGGCAUUUGGUUUUACAGAUGGCUUUGAAAUGUGCUGAUAUUUGUAACCCAUGCCGGACCUGGGAAUUAAGUAAGCAGUGGAGUGAAAAAGUAACAGAGGAAUUCUUCCACCAAGGAGAUAUAGAAAAAAAGUACCAUUUGAGUGUGAGUCCACUUUGUGAUCGUCAGACUGAAUCUAUUGCCAACAUUCAGAUUGGUUUUAUGACUUACCUAGUGGAGCCUUUAUUUACAGAAUGGGCCAGGUUUUCAGAUACACGACUGUCUCAGACAAUGCUUGGACAUGUGGGGCUGAAUAAAGCCAGCUGGAAAGGACUGCAGAGAGAGCAGUCCAGCAGUGAGGACACUGAUGCUGCAUUUCAGUUGAACUCACAGUUAUUACCUCAGGAAAAUCGGUUAUCAUAACCCCUGCCCCAGUGGGACAAACUGCCUCCUGGAAGUUUUUAGAAAUGUGAAAUGGGGUCUUGAGGUGAGAGAACUUACUCUUGACUGCCAAGGUUUCCAAGUGAAUGAUGCCAGCAUUAUUUAUUUCCAAGAUUCCUUCUGUUGGAUCAUUUGAACCUUCUUUUUAAUUAUAAGACCUGAACAUAACAGCAAUAUGCAUUUGGCUUUUGUGUGAAACCUUGAAUAUGCAAAGCCCAGCAGGAGAACCUGAAAGGAAUAACAAAGGAAGUUUCUCAAGUUGUGCCAUGUGCUUUUCAAAAUAUUCAUUCUUCAAACUCGUUCUUCAAACUGUGAAACUUGAACUGAAUAUUUCAGCAGCAAUCUCUUGGAAUCCAGCCAGUCUGAUGCAACAGUGUGUGUCUGUAUCUUCCACUAAGUUCUCUGAGAAAGCGGAAAUGUGAAGUGCCCCGCCUCUGCUGCCUCUGGCAAGACUCAAUGUUUACAAAUCAACUCUGAAAAUCUCGGUUCUAAAUUGCCUUGGAGCAUGAUUGUGAAGGAACCACUAAAAAAUUUAAAGAUCAGACCUUAGACUGCAGCUCUUCCCCCUGGUUUGCCUUUUUCCCCCUUCCUUUGGAUGCCACCAAAGCCUCUCAUUUGCUAUAUUUUAUUUUGUGCACUGGAAACUGAGCAUUUACCAUAGAGUACCGCCAAGCUUUCAAUCCAGUGCUAUUUGGCAAUGCAAAUUUUUUUAACUGUUAAGUUUUUAAUUUGGGGCGGGAGGGGAAGAACACCAAUGUCCUAGCUGUAUUAUGACUCUGCAGUGAAGACAUUGCAUGUUGUUUUCACUACUGUACACUUGACCUGCACAUGCAAGAAACAGGUGGAAUGUUUAAAACACCAUAAUCAGCUCAGGGUAUUUGCCAAUCUGAAAUAAAGUGGGAUGGGGAAGUGUGUCCUUCAGAUCAAGGGUACUAAAGUCCCUUUCGCUGCAGUGAGUGAGAGGCAAAUCUUCUUGAGAAGCCAAACUGUGAACUGGGUGAGCGUGGAUUCUGAGCAAGGGAAGCAAGUUGCCUCAUAUGUCUAUCUCCGUAUGGGAUGCGUCUGUUGUCAUCACCUCUGUGGACCCAGGUUGCCUCUUCCCCGAUGAUGCUAGAGAUGCUCUGCCAGUUGCUUCUCCACACUAGCUUCUGAUGGGCAGCUCCAUUAGAUACAACAUCACUUUCAGCUGUAUUUCAGUUGAGUUUGUCUAGGCUCCAUUCUGCCUGUAUGAUUGCUUACUUCUUGUUCUGAUUGUUUGUCUUACAGUUUAAUAACCAGUUUCCUAUUUGCACAUUCUCAGGGACACCUCAGUGUUGCUUUCAUCUUUCUGCUUAAACAUAUAAUAAACUCAAUGAAAACUUGCUAUAUAUAUGUAUAUAUAUGUGCAUAUGUAUAUAUAUGCACAUAUAUGGGGAUCACCUUCUUCUGUUGCCCUGUUUCUUAGACGUAACUUAUAUUCCUUGAACUGACUUUUCUAGAAAUAUUUUGGUUUCAUUUUUUCUUUAAGCAAAUAUUACUGAACAGAAUACAAAAUCCACACAAAUUUUCAAGAUAAAACGAGAUUUCAGAGAACUGGUGAGCAUGUAGAAGCCCCUUUGGUCUCCCUGUCCAACAUUUUAGUGGGGAGGAUAUCUGCUUUAGGGGUAAAAAUCCUUGGAGAGAGUUCUGACAAGUCCCAGUUCAACAGUGAUAAAAACUGGUUCCCUGUCAUUAUUUGUAUUCACUGUAAAUUCAGUUUCUAAUGGUCCUCUUUGUAUAAAAGAAGCAAAAGCUACAUUUUAUGUCUUUAGAAACCUGAAAAAUAUCCUUGUACCUGAGGUACAUGUUAAGAGGUGCUAAUAAUUCCUUCAGAUUCCAAAAAUGGUCUCUUAAAAUUUCCUCAGUGCUUUCUUGGCUUUUAUUAAACUAUUUUCUUAAAAUUUUAAAAUUUUCACAUCGAGUUUCCAGUAUCUUCAAGCAUAUAUAAAUAUUUUAAUGUAUAUUGUUUAAAUUCCCUUCCAGUUGUGUCUGCCAAUUGACAAAAUACAUAUUGAUCAAUAAUAUACUGCCUUUAUUAAAAGAAAUGUACAUGCUAGUGACCACAGCAUCAACAUACGUUUGAAACAGGGUAAAUAUAGACAAGACUUAACCUGCAGGCAUUCCUUGCUAAGGACCUAUAGCACAUAUGAUUUGGAAGACCCGGAGCCCAUAGUCUGUAGGAAGAGGGAUCACUACUUGGGGGUGAACUGACAAAGGGCGCAUAUUGGGUAAUCUGUCUUCCUGGUUCCUGUGUUCCAUAUAGGGCUGGUAUAAAUUGGGCCAUCAAUAAAUGUUUGUUGAACAAAUGUAGAGUUAAUGUGUUCCCCUUUUAAAGAAAUUAUUUUGAAACUAUUUGUGCUGAAGUCAUGUGGUAAACAAUAGGUGAGUUCCUGGUGUGCACAGAGCAUGGCACUGGACACAAAAGGGCAUUGAAGAUUACUAACCAUGGUCUAUGUGCUUAAAAGUGUUUGCAAAGUAUUAUAUAACACUGGCUGAUUUCAUGCUGUACAAAAUGACUAAAGCAUUGGAGUGCUAUUUAGGAGAAUGAACCAGUUUGGUUAAUAAUGAAAAGGAUGCCAUUUCUAGACACUGUUAUAUUUUUUAAAAUAUUUAAUACUUUUAGCUUUCAAAUUUGAUUAUGUUUUAAAUAUUCAGUAUGAUACUUUUAAAAGUAAAAUACUAAUUUUUAUCAGUAACCUUCUAAAAUGUUAUACCUAUAAUGUGGAAGUUGUCCAAAGCUUGGUAGGAUGGCAGAGUUUUUGGUAUUAGACUUCUUAUUGGCUGUUAUGUAAGCCUGAAAACACUGGCUUAGUCUAUCUCAGCCUUUUAACCCCAUCAACAGUGUUUGUUAAUAAAUUCCAUCUUGUACUUCAA